rnacentral:misc_RNA from 1 species
AAUCUAGUCGUCCGUGGAUUGCUAAGGGCUGUCACUAGGUGGCUAAAUAUUUCAGUGUGUUUAGGGAUUGAACUAUUCGACCCUAGUGCGUCAAAGCCCUGACUGCAGAUUCCUGUCUUUUCUUUCCAGACGGUGUCCGAGAACGUUGGGCGAGGCAUUGCGAGGUAAUUGUGUUCCUGAAAGUGUUCGUCAGAAAAAUGGUAACUACCUGUAUUCUAUAUGGUUAUCGAAAAUGAGAUUUUUGUGCGUGGUGAAUUUACAAGUAACAUGUUCAUCAACGUGUACAAUCCCAUCAUCAUGUGUUCUGCUGUAUAAUUUCCUAAAAUGUCGUCACUUGCUUUACGUUGCACGUUUCGUCACAAGAUGAGGUAUUUCCACGCCAUUCGUCUUCGAUCAAGCUGAACCGAAAGUGAACUAAUAUAAAGCAACAUAUCGAAGAUCGUGCCUUUAUCCACGUGGUCGCUGCCGUGUCAUGAAGAAGUUGAGAGGGUCUCUUCUUUAUUGCAAGACAAAUGUGAUGAAAAGAAGAAAUCUGAGAAGUUUUGUUGCAGCCAACUGAUGAAAGGGAGUUAAAAUUAAGUUGAGCUGCAGCCCCUGGAAGCAGUCUAUAUUACUGGUGUCAUCCUGAAGUGGUGAAAUGUUACCUGAAGUUCAACAGCAACAAAGACAUCUUGAAAUGAUGCCUGCCUGAUCAGCUUGUGCUGAGGUGAAAUUUUCUUUGUGAUGAAACAAGAAAUUCCCUUGGAAAAGAAACUUUUGGUGCAACCUUGUCA